GGCCCAGAACGAGUUUGUCUUCAUGGCCAACGUGCCGGGCGGGGUGCUACCCCCCCCCCUGCCCCCCCCAGAGGCGCCUUCCCCCCCGGGCAAACCCAAAGAGACGCUCGCUCGGGGACUUCACCUUUCAGGACCAACGACGGAGAGACAAACUCGUCUCCGGCUGGGUGGAUUCAAGAAGUCUCGCCUUUUGUUUCUAAUUUCAUUUUCCCUCCAAACGCAUCAUCGGAAGAGCGAGCGGCGGAACGAGGAGGCGACGGGGACCCGGCAGGUCCGGCCUUCGUCCACGCCGCUCCGUCCGGAGGAAAGGGAAGCGAGACUUCUCCUCCGGUUUGUUCUUGGAGGACGUCUCACGGGAAAGAGACUCGCGCCUCUCGCUUUCACAAAGACACCGAUUGUCCGAGGACUGGUUAUCUCAACGUACUCGUCUUUCCCCGUGUGUGUGUGUGUGCGUGUGCGUGUGUGUGUGUGUGUGUGUGUCGUAUUCACAGAACAUGUUAUUUAAGACAGCGGCUGAUAUGCAUCUGGACCUCUGGACAAGCAGCGCCUCUCUGAGCCUAAGGGGGGGGGGCGGGAUCCUGGAUGCCGCUCAAACGACCCCGGGGCCUUUCACGAGGUCGCGCCGUGCUACGUGGGGGGUGCAAGGACGUUGACGUGAACCCGCGUGACCUUUGUGCUUUUUUUUUUUUUUUCUUCCUGUUUUUUGAUUGUUGUGUCAAAACAAGUUUGUCCAGCUCCAAAAAGUUGUUAUCGUCGCCACAGUCCCUCGUCUUCGUCACGGUCCCUCGUCGCGGUCGUUCGCGGUGGAGGCCGGCGGCCUCCGAGCCGAACCCUCUCGGUGGUUUUGGGUUCGAAGCGAACCCUCGAUCAGCAAAACUCUCAAAAUAAACCUGUUAGGCGGCUAACCAUCUGCUCAGCGUUUGGCUUCCUGCACAAACUAGCGUUAGCGUUAGCGUUAGCUGCACGUGUAGCACGUUUUGCAAUAAAAAGCCUACCGGAACAACAACAAAAAAGUCAGAAAGACUCGAUUGAUUUGUGUCUUUUAUCAGCGCAUCCAUGUUGUGCUUUGAGUUCAUAAAGACAGAAGAGAAACGUCCCCAGUUUAGUUUGACCUUCCUCCAGUUACACACCUCGGAGGGAGACGUGUGUGUGCGUGUGCGUGUGUGCGUGUGCGUGUGCGUGUGUGUGUGUGUGUGUGUGUGUGUGUGAGAUGGGAAACAAUGAGCAGCAGCAGGACCACAUGGCGGAGGGAAAAAACCUGGCGUUCCUUGUUAAUUUAUUUAGAUACACAAGAUGCACGCAGACAGGUCAGCUUACACACACACACACACACACACACAGUUCACAGGGGCUAUUUGCUCACACAGACACACACACACGCGCGCUGCUUCAUGCUAGUUUUUGAAUGUAAAUGAGGGUCUCUGUUUCGGUAAUUCUACCACCCUUUCCUUUCCUGAGAGAAACGCGAGGAGCCGCGAUUGAUGAAGGACUGACGAGGGACGAACCCGACAGACCGUCUCCCUCAAAAGGGUUUCCGGGGGGGGGGGGGGAUGUGGGACAGAGGACAGAAAGACGCUUCUGGUCGCCUCCAAAUCCCACCAGACGGGUUCUCGUCUCGCUGCCUGACCUCGUCCCAGCUGAGGGAAUGUUGUUCUUGCAGCGUGAAGGCCUCCUCCUCCUCCGAGAAGCUGGAGAUGUUUGAGACGUCUGAGAGAAGCUUUCAUUUCCUUUCCUCCGCGACGGCCGAUAAUGCAGAUUAACCCCGGCAGAGACCUCGUGAACACAAACACACACACAACAAACCUGGCGGGGAUCUGGUGUCUGAUCGCAACGUGACGGCGUCCUGGACGAUGCUCUGUUUGCUUUCACAUGACGUCCACGAGAUGCCACUAAUAGAAGACGAGGAGACACAAGGAGGAGACACAGAAACACCAGAGAGAGGCCGUAAAACGAGCACGCAGAGACACACAACAGGACCAAUUUACACAAAGUGACCUCAGAAACAACUAAAAAGAGACGACAAAAAGACCAAAACAGCCAGAAAGACACCAGGACAGCAGUAGAAAGACACAAAAUCCAACAAGGGGUGAGAAAGACACAAGACAACAACAACAAGACACACAAAAUGACCACAAAGAGAUAAACACAACCCCCCCCCCCCCCCGCUCGCUCUGCUGCCGGGUCGCCUCGAGAGCCGAAGGAGACUCGCACUGAUUUAUUCUGUUUUAAUUUCUUCAUAUUUACUUUAAAACCGGUAGAUUAUUUGGUUUUGUCUCUUUUCUUUAUUUGUUUACUUCUAAUAAAAUGAAUAUUAUUCAAAGAUGAUUAUUUUUACGCACUUUUGCUCACUUGUACAUCUAUAUGAAAAUGUAAGAUCAUAUAAAAAAAUGUAAAAAGCUUGUAUUUUUGUUACGAGUUCUGAGGGGAAAUAAAUCAAAUGAAAACUGA
ensembl:lncRNA